rnacentral:rRNA from 1 species
UACGAAGGGUGCAAACGUUGCUCGGAAUCAUUGGGCGUAAAGCGCACGUAGGCGGCCUCAUAAGUCGGAUGUGAAAUCCCACGGCUUAACCGUGGAAGUGCAUCCGAAACUGCGAGGCUCGAGUAUGGAAGAGGGUCGCAGAAUUCCCGGUGUAGAGGUGAAAUUCGUAGAUAUCGGGAGGAAUACCAGUGGCGAAGGCGGUGACCUGGGCCAAUACUGACGCUGAGGUGCGAAAGCGUGGGGAGCGAACAGG